CUCUGCUUCAGUCGGCCCUGCUUUUAAAUUUGCUGUGUCUCUGGCUGGCUGUUACCUUAGACUGUAAGCCUCCUGAAAACAAGGACUUAGUCAUCAUUUUACCCCACCCCCCCACCAGUAUGGUGACUUGUACAUAUGAGGUGUACACCAAUGAGGUGACUUGUACGUAUGAGGUGUACACCAGUGACGUGACUUGUACAUAUGAGGUGCUCAACACAUUUUUUUUUUUUAAGAUGGUAUCUCGCUCUGUUGUCCAGGCUGGAGUGCCGUGGUGUGAUCUCGGCUCACUGCAACCUCCGCCUCCCAGGUUCAAGCGAUUCUCCUACUUCAACCUCCUGAGUAGCUGGGAUUACAGCCUUAAAGCCCACUCUCAUCUUGCAAGCCUCUGAAGCCACCAGCUUUCUGAGACGUUCCUCCCGGCCCCGGAGACCACAGAUGUGGCUACCUUCUCAGAAUAUAGAUGUUUCCAUUGCGGCAGGCUGCAGCAAGCCGGAACUCAACAUCAAACUGGCCGGAAACCUCUAGGAAGACGGGGACGCUGGGAAGACUCAUCUGCAAAGAAGAGGCGCAAACAUUCCAAUUUCUCUGGAGCCCCUGUUCCUCCCUGCCCUGUCAGUAACUCCUCUGAGUGAGUGCCUGGUCUAAAGUCCCAAUCUCCUCACUUACACCCAGUUUAAACUCAUACAGUUUUUCAGGAGGGAAACUUGGGGCAACAUUUAGCAAAAGCCUUUUAGUCUGUGCCUUUUGACUAAAUGAUGCCACUUCUAGGACUGCAUCCUAAGGAUGUACUUAAACAACCAUGCAGCUGGGUGUGGUGGCCCACGCCUGUAAUCCCAGCACUUUGAGAGGCUGAGGCGGAUGGAUCGCUUGAGCUCAGGAGUUCGAGACCAGCCUGUCCAACAUGGCAAAACUUUGUCUCUACCAAAAGUACAAAACUUAGCUGGGCGUGGUGGUCCCACAGAUGAGAAGAUGAGGUGAGAGGACUGCUUGAGCCCAGGUGGCAUAGGUUGCAGUAAGCUGAGAUUGUACCACUGCACUUCAGCCUGGGCGAGAGAGCAAGACUGUCUCAAAAACAAACAAACAAGCAUGCAAGGAUAUUUGGGUAAAAAGGUCUAUGGCAUUGGUAUUAAUAGCAAAAAAUGAAAAA